rnacentral:lncRNA from 1 species
UUGUUGUUAAGAAUAUAUUUUUUGGCUUUUGUUCGAGCGUAAUUUUCUCUCUUUCUUUCACCGAAUACUUGCUCUCUCUAACAGUCGUGUGCUUGAACGCUCGACCGACAGAACAAGACAUUUCUGUUCGUUUUGGUAUAAAUAGCCAUUAAAAAUGUGUUUUGAAAAUUAAUGCGUCAUCUUUGUGUGAAUUAAACCUUUUUAAACUUGUAUUACAAAAGGAAUGUCUUAGUUUGUCUAUUUGAUGAUAUGUGGGGGCUGAUUUCGGAAACUAACGAAUCAAAGUUGAUAGCUCUUUAAUUGUUUGAAAUCUACACAAUUUUCGAGGUUGUUGUAGCUUAUUUUUAAUGUUUUUUUACUAUUUUAAAGCAUUUCUUGUUGUUUAGAAUAUAUUUUUUGGCUUUUGUUCGAGCGUAAUUUUCUCUCUUUCUUUCACCGAAUACUUGCUUUCUUUAACAGUCGUAUGCUUUCCAUGCAAAAAACAUUACCCUCUUCGGUGGUACAGAAUUAAAGUCGACUUUUUCGCAGGCAUUUUUGACUGAUGUGGAAAAUUAUUUCAGUUUCAAGAAGGCGUUCCAUGAAUAAAACAUUUCUCUUUUCGAUGAUAAAAACAGAUCUUAAUUUGGAAAAAAUAAAAUAACCUUAGUACAGCCCUGUAAAACGUCAUCUGUAUUUGUAGAAACAAUAAAAAUCGCGAUUUUCGCAGGCAUUUUUGAUAGAGAAACUUAAUUCGUAAUUGGAAAAAGGCCUUCUAUGCUCAAAAUGUUAUACUCUCCUUAAUGAUAGGAAUGGAUUUUAAUUGGGACUUUUAAUAAACUUAAUACAGCCCUGUAAACUGCCGCCUGUCUUUGUAGAAACAACAAAAAUUGAGAUUUUCGCGCGGUCGCUUCAGGCUGAUCUGGAAAAUUAUCUCGCAGCUUCACAAAGCUACCUGACGAUAAGAAUUGUGAAGAAGAUUUUUUAAGAAGAACGAACACCUGCAAUGGGCGAGAUCAGUGGAUGACUUAAAUUACAACAAUGGUACAUCUUCCAAUCCAGUCAUCAAAUAAGAGCCACCCCUACAAUGGACCAAUUAGAGCAUCGUCUUUACAGGGACACUUCGGGGAAUGAUACAUCGUCCAGUCCAGCUAUCAAACAAGAGGAACCACAGCAAUGGACCAAUUCGUGGAUCGUCUUUAUAGGGACAUUUCCAGGAAUUGUCUUCGUGCUGAAGAAUUUUUCAAAUCUUAUACUCUUUCAAGUACAUAUUCCAACCCAGUUAUCGAACAAAAACCACCCCAGCAAUGGGCCAACUCAAGGAUGGUCGUUAUAAGAACAACAAGAGUAAUGUAACAUCUUCCUGUCCAGCCAUUGAACAAGAACCACCCCAACAAUGGGCUAACUCAAGGAUCGUCUUUGUCAGGACACGAUUUUUAAAACUUCUUUUCUUUUGUGUUUAUUUUGCCACUUUUCUUUGGAACUUAUUUUAUUUUAAGUUUCUUGAGUUAGACUUACAAUCAUAUGCUUGCAGGAGUAUCUUCUUGACUUAUUUUUAGAUCCUUAUGUUGAAGAAUUUUUUGAAACCAUAUACUCUUUCAGGCAUAUCUUCCAGCCCAGUUAUCGUACAAGGAUCACCCCUACAAUGGACCAAUUCGAGAAUCGUCUUUAUAGGGACAGUUCGAGUAAUGGUACAUCUCCCAGUCCAGCCACCGAACAGGGACCACACCAGCAAUUGGUCACUUCCAGGAUCGUCGAGAUGCGAUUCAACAGGGGUAGGCUUAUUUUUUUGUACUU